GAUGAAGAACGUAGCGAAAUGCGAUAAGUAGUGUGAAUUGCAGAAUUCAGUGAAUCAUCGAAUCUUUGAACGCACAUUGCGCCCCUUGGUAUUCCAUGGGGCAUGCCUGUUCGAGCGUCAUUUGUACCUUCAAGCUCUGCUUGGUGUUGGGUGUUUGUCUCGCCUCUGCGUGUAGACUCGCCUCAAAACAAUUGGCAGCCGGCGUAUUGAUUUCGGAGCGCAGUACAUCUCGCGCUUUGCACUCAUAACGCCGACGUCCAAAAGUACAUUUUUACACUCUUGACCUCGGAUCAGGUAGGGAUACCCGCUGAACUUAGGCAUAUCAAUAAGCGGAGGA
rnacentral:misc_RNA from 1 species